AUUUAUUUAGUGGCGUGUAUCCUUCCGUUCAGUAGGGCAUCGUUUUAUAAUUGACCUUCGCCGGACUUCAACAUUUUUCCAAUUUUUAAUUCAUAUUGAACGAGCAUUGUUGAGAAUGAGUUCCCUAAAGCACCAAAUUGGUAACUUUGCUGCUGAUCGUUAUGCUGCCAGUCAGGGUUUGCAGGCUGGCAAUCAUUUUGAUGCCCUUGUAAAUAGACACCUAUAUAGACAGUCAGUAGCUUCAUUUGAUAAAUUUGGAAGUGCUAGACUUUUUGGUCUCUCAAGACAAGGUCGGAUGGUUCAGGUCUGGAUGGCCCUUGGAGCGACAUUUGUUGCUUACAAAAUGGCUACAAAGAAAUAACCACGGCAACUAUCACCAUAGACAUAAGUGCAGUGAAAUAGACAGACCAUUUAUUGAGUGAAGUGAAAGAUUUUAAUUUAUAUAAAAGAUAGAUUUUACUGUACCUAAAAAACUGAUUAAACAAUGGUGAUUUAAGAUAGUUUACUUAAAGAUUUUUUUGUUUGUUUCUUAGUUUCAUAAAUGAAUAGGAUUGACAUUGAAUGAAGUAAACCAGAGAAAUAAAAAUGUGAAUGUU